UAGGGAAUCUUCGGCAAUGGGGGGAACCCUGACCGAGCAACGCCGCGUGAGUGAAGAAGGUUUUCGGAUCGUAAAGCUCUGUUGUUAAGGAAGAACGAGUGUGAGAAUGGAAAGUUCAUACUGUGACGGUACUUAACCAGAAAGGGACGGCUAACUACGUGCCAGCAGCGCGGUAAUACGUAGGUCCCGAGCGUUGUCCGGAUUUAUUGGGCGUAAAGCGAGCGCAGGCGGUUAGAUAAGUCUGAAGUUAAAGGCAGUGGCUCAACCAUUGUAGGCUUUGGAAACUGUUUAACUUGAGUGCAGAAGGGGGGAGUGGAAUUCCAUGUGUAGCGGUGAAAUGCGUAGAUAUAUGGAGGAACACCGGUGGCGAAAGCGGCUCUCUGGUCUGUAACUGACGCUGAGGCUCGAAAGCGUGGGGAGCGAACAGG
rnacentral:rRNA from 1 species